GGAGCUCACCAUGGCCUGGGCUGUAUAUUUCAUGGUACUUCUCAGUUACUGCUCAGGUGUCAUUUCACAGCCAACGUUGACUCAACCUGCCUCCCAGUCCGUACCCCAGGGACAAACCCUCAAAAUCUCCUGCACUGCCAGCAGUAGCGUGAGCUAUGUUUACUGGUACCAACAGAAACCUGGACAGAGCCCUCGCUUUGUGCACUGUGAUGCUUGCAGCAGCAGGGGAUCUGGCAUCCCGGAUCGGUUCACUGCAUCCCACUCUGGGACCACAGGAUAUUUAACCAUCACCGGCACUGAAACUGAAGACGAUGCCGAUUAUCACUGCGCUGCCUGGUUUAGCAGCGCAAGCUUGUUGCACAGUGAUAAACUCUUAUGGGGAACUGAGACAAAAACCUUCAUAGUUCCUCCCCUGUAG